rnacentral:misc_RNA from 1 species
AACGCAAAUUGCACUCUCUGGUAUUCCAGAGAGUAUGCCUAUUUGAGGGUCGGUUUAAGCAAAUAUCGGUAUGUUCUUUUUGAACAUGUCGGAAUUGGGUGAUCUCUGACCUUUUCGAGUUUGAGUAACCUAAAAUUUAUCAUUACUUCGGUAUGAUUACGUACUAAAAUUUGUCGUUUGAAAUAUCGAAACGUAUUUACUAGAUGUAACCAUUAAUUGCAAUGGUAUUACGUCUAUAAUUUUCGAGUUUCGACCUCAAAUUAGGUAAGAAUACCCGCUGAACUUAA